UACGUAGGUGACCAGCGUUGUCCGGAUUUACUGGGCGUAAAGAGCGCGCAGGCGGUCGUUCAAGUCGAGUGUGAAAGCCCCCGGCUCAACUGGGGAGGGUCAUUCGAUACUGAUCGACUUGAAGGCAGGAGAGGGAAGUGGAAUUCCCGGUGUAGUGGUGAAAUGCGUAGAUAUCGGGAGGAACACCAGUGGCGAAGGCGACUUCCUGGCCUGUUCUUGACGCUGAGGCGCGAAAGC
rnacentral:rRNA from 1 species